GGCAAGAGGAAUUGUAGUGGUGAGCUCA
rnacentral:piRNA from 1 species